GGUUUUUAAAGACAGACUGCAAACCUGUCACAGCAAUUAAUGCAAAAACCU
rnacentral:tRNA from 1 species